UAACCCUAAAUUUGAUUGCCGACAUUUCACACUCCUCACUACACUCUUUGUCUCUCAAGCUCAACUCUCACUCUGUCACUCAUUGUCCACCGUCCACCACCAUCAGCCACAAACUAGUUGUCUUCCCCACAUCUCACUCAUCCUGUCUCACUCUUCUUAGUCGCACACACUACGACACCACCACCACAAUAGUCUUCUUCCUUCCCACGACACCACCACCACAUAGCUAUCUUCUUUCUUCACCACAACGACACCAACAGAUCAGUCUCCUUCCUCCAUAUUUUUGAUUUAUGGGGUGCAUUCCAGGAUCAAGGAUAUGGAGAAUUCAAUGACAUUGGCUCUAUCACUAUAAUAGCGAAUUAUAUUGUUCCAGUUGUUAUAGGACAGAUUGAUGUAGAUUGGUGUGCUCAAAUAUGGUUCAAUCCUUGCUAACAAAAUUGAGGCUGAUAGUGAAAUAGGUACAGACAGUGAGGAGGAAGUUGAACUGAGAGCUUGUUCUGUUCAUGUGUGUGGAAAAAAUGAGGAAGUUAAUUAGUAACAUAUCAGGAAAUCAAAUAUAGCCAUAUCUCCUGUUGCUAGCAUUGAAAUUUUCUUGCUGCUGAUUUUGUUACAAUCCAACUAAGGCAAGGAGCAGAGGAGAAGAUUCCAAACAAAUGAUUGUGUUUAUUCAAUAUUAAAUGGGUGACUGGAAUGGAUGACUGUAAUAUCUUGAAGAACUAUGUUUGGAUGACUAUAAUAUUUCAAGACUUGUUUUGUUUGUGGUUUUAUAAUCCAUUAA